AAACACACCUCCAAAGAUAAAUUGAGUUAUUUGUCCUUAAAGGGGAUCCAAACAGACCCGUGGUUCCUUGGUGGGAUGGCGAGGGCGCAGGAGCUGCAGGCGUGAGGAGAAACCCUGCAGACGAAGGAUCCUGGGUCAUCUACCUCCAAGCCGGUCCGGCCCGACAAAUAUAGCCUGGGUGCUUUCCCUCUGGUGCUCUGCCGCACCGGGAGAAAUAAAUCUGUCCAGGAACCGCCAAGUGCAGAAGGGAGAGGCACGGGGGAACAAAAGGGGGAGUGGGCUCAACAGGAGAGAGCUGAGGUGAGAGAAAAAACAAAGGUGGGAUGCCGGAGUUAAACCCCUCAAACUAUUUCAAGACGUCAACAUGGUUGUCCUGAUGUUUUUUUUUUGUUUUUUUUUUUUGCCUUCCUGCAGGCAGGGGUUUGGUUCUGCUGCGCUCAUGGCGUGCAGAUGGAGGUAACGCCGCGUCCAAAUGGUUGGGGAGCGCGUCCCAAAAUUGUUGUGGUAACCUCAUCCCACAGCAACCAUGUAUGGACCGAAGGGAGCAGGCGUGAUGGAGGAGCAGCUGCCAUAAAUAGCCAGGAAGUAUCGGACCUCCAGCGCAGGAGGGAUCCAAUCAGCUGUUCCGGACAACACGGCGUCUGCUGGUUCGCAGAAAGCAGGAGGACAACAGCGACUGUGGCGUUAGUGUGGAGACAGGUGGAAAGGCCUCAGUACUGAAAACCGAUUUGGAUAUGAAGCAGCUGGGAUGGAGGGACAGCUGGAAGCGAAUGGCGGUGAAGUCUGCGGGACAGUCAGACUGAGGCGACUACCAAUGUGUGUCAGUCUUUUCCCAAAUCAGAAAAAGGCAGACAGAAAACAAAGUGGGUAUUAUUUAUGUACGUUUCGACAACCCAAAUAUUGGUGGCAAAAGUCAACUAAGUCUUCGAUAUAACUGCUCUGUCACACUUCUGCAAAAAUAAACCCUAGAGCGAAACAAUCA